GGAGUACAAAGGGAGAGACAAGUCCAAACCAGCUCUGGCUUUGUUUUUUUCAAAAUUCAACUGUUUAUGUUGAGGUUUUGAGACACACAAACCAAAAUCUUAUUAAUUUGUCUUGGCUCAAUUACCUUCACUAUGUUUGUUGGUUCACAAUACAGCAACAAAACUUUAAACAGAGGAAACUUUAUUCCAAAAGAAAACUCUGUAUCCCCCCGAGAACACCUGGAAGAGGACACGUUUUGCUGUGUUUUCCUUAUGCAUGGCUGCUCUGCUUCCUGCUAUUUUCUUUUUCCACUGCUGUGAUAAUAAGGUGGAUGCUGGAAACACCCUUCAGUGAUCCACAUCUUGCCAAGGUCAGUUCUGACUGUUAACAUCAGGAGCUGGAGUUUGUGUUGCCAUCUAUGACUAGGUUUUUGGGACCAUUGAUAAAGUGGGGAGUGCUUCAUUUCCACCUGUAAAACCACCAGAACCAACAAUAAAAAGGAUGGUCUGUGGGAAGAGCA
rnacentral:lncRNA from 1 species